CAAAAAGAUCAAACUUGGAACUCUUCUUUCUGAGGAACAGCAAAAACAAAAAAUAAAUUGAGAAGACAUCUGUAGAACCCCAAUAAUCUGCCCAAAUUAGAAGAGUUGAGAACUGGACAUGCAGGAGGCCACAGGCCGAUAAAGGGGGAUGACUUCAGCAAUACAGUUUUACUGGGACAACGGACAGCUUCAGAUGAAGAGGGAAGUGACUUUGUCCUUUUGCUUGUUAAGGUCUUCUUCCUCCGAAGUGUUGUCUGGAAAACUCAUCUACUGUCGUGUCCGUGUGGAGCAGCUUACUGACCCCAGGCUUAAACCACCCUUCUGCUUGAGUUCUUGA
rnacentral:lncRNA from 1 species